rnacentral:pre_miRNA from 1 species
GCGGAAUAAAUAUCUUCAUUACCAAAAAAAAAAAGUCCAAAAGAGGAUCUAAGUGAGAAUUGCUGAUCUAUGAAUCCCUCAGUCUUAUCUAUUGUUCAAAUUCAUUCUUUUGGAUAGGUUUAUGGUUUGCACAUAUCAUGAGAGCAUUUACCCUUCUAAGAUCCUUGUUUGGAAUUGAAGGCAACUCUACGCUUUUACC